CACGGGGGGAGCAAGCGUUGUUCGGAAUCACUGGGCGUAAAGGGCGCGUAGGCGGCCCGUCAAGUCCCGUGUGAAAGCCCCCGGCUCAACCGGGGAACGGCGCGGGAAACUAGCAGGCUUGAGUUCGGGAGAGGGAAGCGGAAUUCCGGGUGUAGCGGUGAAAUGCGCAGAUAUCCGGAGGAACACCGGUGGCGAAGGCGGCUUCCUGGACCGACACUGACGCUGAGGCGCGAAAGCUAGGGGAGCAAACGGG
rnacentral:rRNA from 1 species